rnacentral:rRNA from 1 species
CAUGGCUCAGGAUGAACGCUAGCGGCAGGCCUAACACAUGCAAGUCGAGGGAGAAGCCUUUCGGGGCAGAAACCGGCGCACGGGUGCGUAACGCGUAUGCAACCUACCUUUUACAGGGGGAUAGCCCGAAGAAAUUUGGAUUAAUACCCCAUAAUAUUAUUGUACGACAUCGUUUGAUAAUUAAAGCUGAGGCGGUAGAAGAUGGGCAUGCGUCCUAUUAGCUAGUUGGAGUGGUAACGGCACCCCAAGGCUACGAUAGGUAGGGGUCCUGAGAGGGAGAUCCCCCACACUGGUACUGAGACAGGGACCAGACUCCUACGG